AUAAAGCACCUGUAUCAUUAUGGCUGCCUCUUGGCUUUGUAUCUGCCUGUUGGUUGCCACAUGGGAUCAUCUCUGACUUUUAGAGUGAAGGAACUGAAUGGCAAGUCCAAGGUCAACAGAGAAGCUAAGGCACAAGAGCCUAUACAUGGCUCCACAGAGGAAUCUGGCGUGGAUGCCAGUGUAUAUGAUGCCAUAUCAUAAGUGGCAGAUCUGGAGGUCUAUGUACAGUUGCAGAUGGCCAAGGAACUCUUCAAUGCAAUGAGCCAAACCUAUUACAGUAUUGAGGAGGUACUCCCUGACCUGAUGGAUCAUGCAAAUAAAUUAAUGGACACAGUACAGGCUUUGCAGACUGCUGUGGAACAGAGCAUUGUUAGGCUGCUGUGGCUGCUGCUAGACAGCUCUCUGUCUCUGCUCUCCCCCUCCCCUCUCUGUCCUUAAUUGCUACAUAUACCUGGUCAACCUACCACUCCUCGUCGGAUCAUAGUCUAGACCACGUUAUUGGAACCUGACUCCUGACUCUUGCCUCCACUUCACUCCUGCCACCCACCCACCUAUCCUGCUUGCCGCAACUGGACCUCAACGGACUCGACACCACCACUUGGACUACACGGUAUUAUUCCUGCUCUGAA